rnacentral:rRNA from 1 species
AAAGCUUUGGCGGUUGAAGAUUGUCGUGCGUCUGAUUAGCUAGUUGGUGAGGUAACGGCUCACCAAGGCGACGAUCAGUAGCUGGUCUGAGAGGAUGAUCAGCCACACUGGAACUGAGACACGGUCCAGACUCCUACGGGAGGCAGCAGUAGGGAAUAUUGGACAAUGGGCGGAAGCCUGAUCCAGCCAUCCCGCGUGUAGGAAUAAGGCCCUAUGGGUUGUAAACUACUUUGAUUAGGGAAGAAAACUUUAGAUUUAUCAGAGCUUGACGGUACCUAAGGAAUAAGCACCGGCUAACUCCGUG